AUCGAAUACUUAGUCACAUCGAAUACUUAGUGACAUCGAAUACUUAGUGACAUCGAAUACUUCGAUGACAUCGAAUGUUUAAAGGACAUCGAAUGAAAGGAAAAAAUGAAGGGGAAAAAACUUAGAAAUAACCAAGCGACGAGCUAGUUUAAAUACUAACGAAUGCAUAAAAAUACACAUAAUAUACAAAUUACAUUUACACCACACGUACAUUACAUACACACGAUCGAAUACUUAGAAGACAUCAAAUACUUAGAUAACAUCUAAUGAAAAAAAAAAGAGCGUGGAAAAAAAACUAAAACACUCAGUUGAACGUACGACCCAAAACUAAGCGACUAAUUAAAUGAUUCUGAUCGAGCCGGUUCAAGCUGAUGCAACCCACUUUGCGCCCAAUAUCUUCAAUCAAAAAGGACGACCAUAAAAAGACUAGAAAACAAAGAAGUUACAAAAUCUGCUGUUUCAAAUUUGGAGUAUUAAAAAUUCCCUGUUAAGAGCAAAAAGUUCAGAGGAGUGAAACGAGCCUUGCAGUGCAGUAGUUCAGUUCAUCAGGGCGACCAUGAAUUCCAUUAAUUAUCGACAAAUGACGGCAAGCACUUGAAAGAUCGAAAAGAGAUGCCAAAAAAGGGAGGACGGUACAUCUCUAUACUGAAUUGUGAAUUCAAGCCAAUUCCUUGAUAUUGGGAUAUACACUGAAGUCAACCACCGAGCUGCACCACCAAGACUUAAACCAUUCAACCACUCUAUUGGAUCGUGUUCCUGCUCCUUCUGUCCGGCACUAUUAUUGCCUACUUUAUGGCCAUCUAUUUGUAAAGACACCAACAAAAAUACACUCGGCAAAGAAGCAAACUUCA